rnacentral:lncRNA from 1 species
GCUCCCUCUCCUUACAGGCCUCCCCUCAGCAAAGAACGCCCCUCUCCUGUCCCUUUCAUCAUCUUUGGCAUUCAUAGGAGAUGGCAGCCCCGCUACAGCGGAAAGUCUGCUCCGCAUCAAAGCCGCCCGGUUUUGUUUUUUGUUUUUCAUUACGCUCUGCAGAGCUCUCAAUUCCCAGCAUCCCCGAGCCCCCGAAUGCUCUAAAUGCCAGCAGUGUUUACAUUUUUGUUCAGCCUACACGUCCUUUCCUGCUUAAGAACCAUGUGCCCUCUCUUUCGUCGUGUGGCCAACACACCCUGCUUCCUUCCCCUUCCUCUGAUUCUUCCGACCUUUGACUCAGUCACACCCAUCCUGGCUGGUAGUGCAGAAGGGAGCAUUCGAAAUGUCUCAAGUCCUCGCCAGUGCCCUCUGGCAUGGUUCUCCUUAGGCAGAGCAAAAAUAGUCCAGUUACUCCAGGAGCCCCAGUUAUCAGUGUGUCCCAGUACUGAGCCCUGGUGUUACGUAUCUUAAUAACCGUUCUCUCAUUCACCUGAAGUAUGUUGUUCUACCUACUGUUCUUGUCCCCAGCAAACAGGAGUCAAAAAAUAAAAGUAGUGAUGUUUAGAUUUAGUAAAUUAUUUUUUUUAAUAAAUCCCGAGAAGUUCCAGUGCAA